CCCUACUCCUACGGGAGGCAGCAGUAGGGAAUCUUCCGCAAUGGACGAAAGUCUGACGGAGCAACGCCGCGUGAGUGAUGAAGGUUUUCGGAUCGUAAAACUCUGUUGUUAGGGAAGAACAAGUACGAGAGUAACUGCUCGUACCUUGACGGUACCUAACCAGAAAGCCACGGCUAACUACGUGCCAGCAGCCGCGGUAAUCAC
rnacentral:rRNA from 1 species